ACUCAAAUGAAUUGACGGGGACCCGCACAAGCAGUGGAUCGCGUGGUUUAAUCCGACGGUAAACGUAUAACCUUACCAAGACUUGACAUAUAGAGAAUCUGGGGGAAACUUCGGAGUGCCGCAAGGAGCUCUAAUACAGAUGCUGCAUGGCUGUCGUCAGCUCGUGUCGUGAGAUGUUGGGUUAAGUCCCGCAACGAGCGCAACCCUCACCCUAUGUUGAUUAUUCUUAGGGAACUGCAUCGCUAAAACGAUGAGGAAGGUGGGGAUGAGGUCUAGUCGUCAUAGCUCUUACGUCUUGGGCUACACACGCGAUACAAUGGUACAUACAAUGGGUUGCCAAACCGCAAGGUGGAGCUAAUCCUCAAAAUGUACCUCAGUUCAGAUUGAAGGCUGCAAUUCGCCUUCAUGAAGUCGGAAUUGCUAGUAAACGCAAAUCAGCAUGUUGCGUUGAAUACGUUCUCGGGUCUUGUACACACCGCCCGU
rnacentral:rRNA from 1 species